rnacentral:rRNA from 1 species
CUCGUAGGCGGUCUGUCGCGUCUGGUGUGAAAUCCCGAGGCUCAACCUCGGGCUUGCAUCGGGUACGGGCAGACUAGAGUACUGUAGGGGAGACUGGAAUUCCUGGUGUAGCGGUGGAAUGCGCAGAUAUCAGGAGGAACACCGAUGGCGAAGGCAGGUCUCUGGGCAGUUACUGACGCUGAGGAGCGAAAGCAUGGGGAGCGAACAG